AAGAAGGCAACGCAACAACCACAUAGAAUUGUAUAGGUAAGAU
rnacentral:guide_RNA from 1 species